GACGAACGCUGGCGGCGUGCUUAACACAUGCAAGUCGAACGGAAAGGCCCUGCUUGCAGGGUACUCGAGUGGCGAACGGGUGAGUAACACGUGUGUGAUCUGCCCUGCACUUCGGGAGAAGUCUUGAAAACUGGGUCUAUUACCGGAUAGGAGACAUUUUGAGUGUGAUUGUUGGAAAGUUUUUUUGGUGUAGGAUGAGCGCGCGGCCUAUCAGAUUGUUGGUUGGGUAAUGGCCUACCCAGGCGGCGACGGGUAGCCGGCCCGGGGGGGUGGACGGCCACAUUCGGACUGGGACUCAGCCCAGGCUCCUACGGGAGGCAGAAGGAGCGAAGUUUGCUAUAUGGCAGCAAGCCAGAUGCAGCGACACCGCGGCGGGGAUGACGGCCUUCGGGUUGGAAUCGCCUUUCGCUAUGACCCGAGCUGUUAGUGACGGUACCUGGAUAAGAAGCACCGGCUAACUCCGUG
rnacentral:rRNA from 1 species